CCUACGGGUGGCAGCAGUGGGGAAUAUUGCGCAAUGGGCGAAAGCCUGACGCAGCGACGCCGCGUGAGGGAUGAAGGUCUUCGGAUCGUAAACCUCUGUCAGCAGGGAAGAACGGUCACUGUGCUAAUCAGCAGUGAAUUGACGGUACCUGCUAAGGAAGCACCGGCUAACUCCGUGCCAGCAGCCGCGGUAAUACGGAGGGUGCGAGCGUUAAUCGGAAUUACUGGGCGUAAAGCGCUCGUAGGCGGUAUGUCAAGUCAAGGGUGAAAUCCCCGCGCUCAACGUGGGAACUGCCUUUGAAACUGACAAACUGGAGUGUGUGAGAGGUUAGUGGAAUUCCAGGUGUAGGAGUGAAAUGCGUAGAUAUCUGGAGGAACAUCAGUGGCGAAGGCGACUAACUGGCACAUAACUGACGCUGAGGAGCGAAAGCGUGGGUAGCAAACAGGAUUAGAUACCCGGGUAGUC
rnacentral:rRNA from 1 species